GUCGCAUUAGCUAGUUGGUGAGGUAUCGGCCCACCAAGGGGACGAUGCGUAGCCGACUUGAGAGGGUGAUCGGCCACAUUGGGACUGAGAUACGGCCCAGACUCCUACGGGAGGCAGCAGUGGGGAAUAUUGGGCAAUGGAGGAAACUCUGGCCCAGCAAUGCCGCGUGAAUGAAGAAGGUCUUCGGAUUGUAAAGUUCUUUAGUCAGGGAAGAAGUCAAUGACGGUACCUGAAGAAUAAGCUCCGGCUAACUACGUGCCAGCAGCCGCGGUAAUACGUAGGGAGCAAGCGUUGUUCGGAAUGACUGGGCGUAAAGGGUGCGUAGGCGGUUGUACAAGUUAGAAGUGAAAUACCCAGGGCUUAACUCGGGUGCUGCUUCUAAAACUGUAUGACUUGAGUGCAGUAGAGGUUAGUGGAAUUCCUAGUGUAGCGGUGGAAUGCGUAGAUAUUAGGAGGAACACCAGAGGCGAAGGCGGCUAACUGGACUGCAACUGACGCUGAGGCACGAAAGUGUGGGGAGCAAACAGGAUUAGAUACCCUGGUAGU
rnacentral:rRNA from 1 species